rnacentral:lncRNA from 1 species
UCCUCACCUGCUCUUUUCACUGAAACUAUACUUUAUGAAAAGGAAUUCAUUGAAUCUACCUAACACAAUAUGGAAGGGGUAAGCAUCUCAGCUGACAUCUUAUUGAAUAUAUGGAAUCGCUACUUUCCUGUUCGUCAAGCAUUAACCUAGCAGUAGGGCCUGUUUGAAGUGAAUGAAGUCAACCUUUCAUAGUGAAGAAGUCAACCAUGACUUGAUUUCUGAAUGAACGUUAGUUAGCACCCCGCUCUGUGGGUCAAUAAGCAUUAGCGCCCCUUAAAAACCAGAAAGAAAGAAUUCCAUUUAGCUAGCUUCAUAUAGAACUGAGUUCAGAAAACACCUAUUACUUACUGCUGGCUCUGCUCAUCCCUUGAAUAGAGUAAUAACACCUAUACAAUACUGCUGGCUCUAAAUCAUUGAAUUGAACUGACUUCAUAUAGAAUCUAGUAUACUCACUGCUUUGCUUGCGGACUCCUGACUCACUGUUGACUUAGACGGCUUCCCUUUGACAAUGUAUGAUCUAUGAACUUCCAGAAAUGAAUCGCAACCCUGAUGAGCUUUCUUUCAUAUUUGUUGCAUAUCUUAACCCCGCUGCUCCCGUAAGCGCGCAAUAAACAGGACUUGCUCUUGCCUUCAACUCUCAAUCAGGGUCGAGCAAACAAACCUUGUGAGUUCUGUUGCCGCAAAGGGGAAGUCUAGUGAACCUUAAGAAUGCUUUGGAAGCCGGUAUAGUGAACCUUAAGAAUGCUUUGGAAGCCGGUAAGAUUAAUAAGAAAGGGAAGAGCUGUGUAUUUACUCCGUUCUAUCCAAGGACCGUGUACUCCAUAAUGAUAAUCCAUUCAUGGUUGACUCCGCGCUCUCCACAGAAUCCAUUAUUUCUGAAGCUACUGUUAUCGGUGCUAACUCUCCCCGGGGUGCCCAUCCAUAAAUGGUUGACUUUCCAGGGUGUCCCUAUUUAGCUUACUUUCGGGGAACAAGUCACACUUACUUUACUUGUGCUAACAUGUGUUCUUUGAAUGGAAGAAAUCCCUCUCGCAUAUUAUUGAAUAAGAGAAUUGAGGCUCAAGCAUAAGCCGGAGAAGAAUCAUAAUAAGGAAAGUGUUAUACAGAAAAGGAAGCAGUGCUUGUAAAGUAAACGAGAGAAGAAGUAGUGUCAUCCGUAUAAGGAGCAGGUGAGGAAGUUAGAGUUAAUGAUGGUGCUCCUACUCGGGCAGUUCCACUGUUCUUGUUCUAGGAUCAGAAGUAGGAGAAGUCAAGUCGACAAAAGAUGGAGCUGGAUCUGAAGCAGUGCUAGGAAAGUCGAAGUCAAGUUCUGAGAAAGAAGGAAGUACUGGUGUGGUGGGCGCUAAGCAAGACUCUUACUCGUUAUUGUGAAACAGGUGCUUUCGGGUUGGAUUGGAGUAUAGAGUAGUGCUAGAGCAGCUCUUUUAGUAAGUUGUAACGCAAAGCAAGGAAUAGACUAAUAGAAAUACGUGAUAUAAUGAGUUCUGACAAGUCAAGUCUUUGCCUGCUCUUUAAGUAAGUUGUAAGAAGAAAGUACACUUAGUUACUUCCAAAACAGCUAAACUCAAAAUCCAAACCAAUGAAGAAAGGACUAGUAGUUGCUUGCACUUAGUCACAUUCGCCUGCUUGUCUGGCCAACUCGGUAGGUGCGAGGAUCCAAGCAAGUAUUAGGGCUACCUUACACUUGGGGCUACAGGUAUACCAAGGGACAACCAUCUUUGUGAGUAUCGGUAUUUUCACUAUGAUUUGAGUUCGGGGGUGAUAGAACUCUCUUAAAUACCCGAGCGAUAGGACUCCGGCGGUAUAUGACAUGACGAAUGUCAGGAUUCAUUCGAUUGGGGGCUGGCUUCUCGUAAGCUUCAUUAGCGAUAUCGACGGAUCACCUGCGAGCACCGAUGAAGCUAGAAAAGAGAAAGAGUGAAACGGGUGCAACGACACCAGAUAAGAAAGAAUCUUACCCAUAGAAUAAAAGAAAGGCGCUAAAGUAUAAAGCGGAGUGAAAGGGCACCACAAAUGCAAGGGAAAGACCCGGACAUGGAGCGGGAGAAGGAUAAGAAGUCACAUCAAACCAGAAUUCUCCUAUUUGAUUCAGGCAGUCGUCCAAAGUGGCCUUAGGGACAGGACAUCAUGGAUCGAAUCCCACCCGGUUCGGUUCCAAAACAAGAUAACGGAUCAGCUCUGUGAUCGACAUCCCACUCUUCAUUCAUGAAUAAAGGAUAAAGCGUCGCUUUCAUUACAUAUCAAACCUUGAGAAGACCGACCCGAUCCUCCAGCCAGAAUCGAAUGGUAGUCUAAUUCAGAUAGGUCAGGUUCAUAAACCCUUGUUUUUAUGGUAGAAAGAUGCCAAAAUCAGAAUCAAGAAAAAAGGAUGAUCUGCAGUUUCAUACGACACCGGGGAACUCCAGGAAGGGGAUUAAGGCCAAAAGGGUAUUUCUUUUCAUUCCAUUCAAAAUGCUUAGGUUCUUCCCAUAGGUCUUCGUCACACAGAUCUUGGAUUUGAUAGAGUUUGUUCCUUAGCCUGCUUAGAGAGGAUCGAUUCUCUUACUUGAUACGUUAAAGUAUAGCUGCUACUAUGUUGGGUUUUUCUCUCUUGUUCAGAUGUUAACUCAUGAACUUCCUAGCUUCAUUACCUCCGCCCAAAGAAAGGCUUUCGCAGCUGGGCAUUUUCACUAUUCAAUGAAUAAUAGUAGCUGAUUGUUUAGCCAAUGAUGGAUUUCGCGCUAAGGAAUGGAUCAAAUCACUUCUGACGUUUCCAAUACCGACCUCCCGCUGUUAGUACUUUGACCCCCCUUUUCUUGUUCGAAGUCAAUGAAUUCCUUUCUAUUACUAGAUUAUUGUCGGAAAUGCUUGAAGCGUGUAUGGAUAUUUCCGUUAUUUAGGAGGUAGGUUUUCGGUUUCGCCUUUCCCUUUGGGCUUUCUCUUCUUAUGUAGUUUAAGAUACAACUUGGACUUUUGGAAUGGUAGAAUUCUGUAGAAAAGCUAGUACCUCGUUAGCAUUGCAACAACACGAAUAGAGAGCGAGAUACUGAAAGAAUACUGGAAGACUCUGGUUAGUAGCGCUCUCUCCAAGUGUUUUAAGCGUUUGCCUUGUCUCUUACUUGCAUCUAAAAGCACGAAGUUUUACCCUAAUCUUAUUAUAGGGGGCGUGGGUGGGGAACAAUACUUUUUCUUUUUCUUAUUCUCCCGCUUCUGGUUGAACUCUCACUCCCAAUACAGAGACCCUAGUAUACCUAUUCGUUUUUAAGCCGUGUUCUUAGUUUCCAUGGUCACAGAACUUAUUGAGGUAGCGAAAUGCUCUGAUAAUGCUUUGACGCCUAGAAUCUUGACUUUCUCCCUUCCUGGUAGCGCCUAUCAUUUAGGAAUGUACCUAGAAACUCCAAGUUCAGAAUGGAAUUGCUUCCCGUUAGCACCUAUCAUUUAGGAAUGUACCUAGAAACUAGAAGAGAAGUUCAGCCCAAUAACUCCUGCCGCGGCAGGGCCGCUAGUUCCCGAAAGACUACUUUGAUUUAUCCUUGCUCGGCCCAUACUAUUUCCCUACUAAAUGAAGUAUUUAUCUUAUAUUAGGAUAAUGUUUAGAAAGACCGAGCAACUACUGUUCUUGUUAGAUUGGAAUUCCGUAUUAGUAGUGGUAUGGUCCAGUGGGGUUGGUGCUCUAGCUCUAAGUCAUAGGGGUAGGUUUUUGGUAUACAAGUCCUGUCUUCGUAGAUGUUUUCACGGGUCAGGUCGGUCAGGUUUCUCAUUCUAUUGGGAACACAUAUGCUAGGACUUCCUUUAGCUUUGAUUCUGUUUUCUUGUAUCGGUUUAUUUCAGGCAUCUCUAUUAGAAGCUAGUCUUUCCAUUAGGGCUGCAUUCCCAUAUUCAAGGCAAGGGGAAAGCUACAUAAGAAAAGCAUGCUUCGGAGAGUUUUGAUUCAAGGCAGAAAUGUCAAAAAAGUCAAAGAACCCUCCCUUCCCGCAAGAAAAAUCCAUAAGGCUAGGCUAUACCGCACGGGAUUUGCAUUCCCAUAUAUCUCGACUCUCGCCUUCAACGGACAGCAGAGAGGGGCUUUUUGAUUGAGGUAAAGAUUAAACACUAUUACUCUAGAUUAGAAUUGCUUGCGGUAAGGUAAGCUAAGCAUAGGAUUUACCCGGGAAUGCAACUGAAAACUACCAGAAUUGACUACUACACCCGAGGACCCAAACGCAUAAGUAAGCCUGCCACCAUGCCCUUGAGCCCGCCCUUCCUAUCCAAUUAAUAUUCUUAUACUAACUGAAACUAUCACUACCUUUACUUGGAUUUUGAAACAGCUAAUGAAAAGACUGCUAUGCCUAUUGGUCUAUCCUAGAUUACUUAUAUUAUUUCAUUCAAUAAAGAUCUCUAACCUUGCUUUACAAGCUAUUGGUCUUACUAUCCUGGCUUUUGUCCUGUAACUAGUGACUUGGAUUUGCAUACCCUUGUUUGAAUUCUUCGACGACUAACUAUUAUAAUGUAACUAGGGCAUACGAGCCCGGCACUACUUGUUUUAGGCUAUUGUUAUUAAGAAGGAGGCUAUGGGGUUGUGUUGGAGAGCACGCCGGUUUGGGUAGUGACUACUUGAAUACUACGUUACUUAGCUUUGGGGAAACAAUUCUUCUAUCACUUAUGAGAACCAAUGAUUCUAUUACUUGGCUUUGGAACCAAUGAUUCUAUUACUUGGCUUUGGAACCCAUUCUGAUAUUGAUAUUACUAAAGACACCCACGAAGCGGUAACACGACAUCUGAAAUUAGGAACAUAUGACACACACCUACCCACGGGAGAAACAAACACAUCUAGUAGAGUGGGCCGGUAACUCAUUAUUUAAGUGGAGCCGAUCAUUCACCCAUGCUACGAAGGUCCCGGGGCAUAUAAAGUACCUCGGUAAUUCAUUGAAGGGCCGGGCAACGAGGUUAGGUCAACUGGUCUAGGGGUCGAGCAACAAUAAAUGUAUGCAGGAAAACACACUCUUCGAGUAGGGUCACUCGGUCUUUGGGGAGCACAACUCCGUCUAAGAGGAAACAAUUGACCGAACACCGGUACAAGAGAUCCAUCGUCAAUGAAAUAGUACUUGCGGGGUUGAUACCACUUGUGGCUAAGCAAAUCGAAGAAAAUACGAAUCAAUCUUAUAUAAGUCAACUUAAUAGUAAUCUUAUAUAAGUCCCACUUAAUAGUGAAUUUCAGAAAGAAAAGAUAGAAUUCCAAUUCUAAGAAGAAGAAUUAUGUUUACCUAACACCGGCACCACCUGCUCUCCAAUGAAAUGAAAAAGUGUUCCCGUUGCUACAAAAAGAGAAUAGAAGUCCCCCUUUUUCGAUCACAUUUACCUAAGAAAAUAGAUUCAAAUAGAAUAUGAGAAAACAUAAGUAACCAGCCAGAAGUAACCAGAAUCAGAAAUAGAAGACAAAAUGAGACCCAUUAAAGAGAGAAUGAAAGCAUGGAUAGUUAGAAUGAGAUCGAGAAAAGGAAGCCAAAGGGACGGGGGGCUUAUUUGAAAUACAGAUAUGAGAUCAGUAGUAAUACAGAUAUGAGAUCAGUAGUGCCGGUCAGGAGUUUCGGAGUUAGAUAAGGGAUCGACAGAGUGCAAGAAGGGAAUGGGAAUGUAGCUAACGAGCAUAGGCCUGUGAACCGGGUAAACACCACUUAGGAUCCGUAUUAGUCCGCUUGUCACCGGUUCGAUUCUUUUAGUUAGUAGUUACAGGACAAAAGCCAGGAUAGUUAGAAUCAAAGUGAGCAGUGGUAGUGUUGGAGUUGGGAGUUACAGGCCAAUAGGUGAAAUACAUAUUUUUAUGCCGGGGUGAAAGCCUGGGGUCCAAGUUCAAUCUGAUAGUCAAAAGAGGUGCACUAAAGUCCUAGAAGCAGUAAAGUAAUAUCGAUAGGGUCAAAUCUGAAUCAAAGGCUAGGGUUGCAGAACGAGAGACAGGAAAGGUAGUCUUUUCGGGAGUAGUUGGUUUCCGAGUUGCUUGUUUCAAUCUUGUUACCCAGGCAGUAAUUCCUUAUUCUAAGAUCAAGUAUGAGAAGCGCUGACUCAAGUCAGAAUCAAAGACAACCUUGGUAUCGGUAGCUAAAGCCUUUUCAUUUUCUUAUUUUAUGAUGUUUAAGUCUCCCAUGAUAACCCAUAUAGAGAGUUAGUGCUUGAUGAUACCAUCGCCAAAGCUCGAUUCUUUCCAGCACAGAAUGAGAAUAGAAAUCCAAUAGAGAGCCCGGGCAUACUGCUAUAUGAGAAUGAGCUGUCUUUGUAUUGGAGUAUAAAAUGUAUAAGAUUGGAGCACUUUCUUGCUCUUUUCUCCUUUUUUUCGACAUGAGUUGGGCUAACGGGACAAGGAGUUUUUUCAGGUUCAAGUCAAAAGGGUCUUAAUCCAAUGGAGAAGAUAAGAUUCCCGGCUAAAGUGCUAGUUCCUGUAUUUGCUGAUGACGAAGAAGGCGAGGUAAGGAAAGCAAACUAAAGAGAAGCGUGCAGGAUCAAUCAAACUGUGAAAAACCUUAUGCUCACAAAGAAAAGGUCAUGGGUUUUGUCGAGACAAUAAAAGUGUGUGGGAAAGAUCAUAUCCAUCUAGGGGCUUCAGCCUCCUUUCCUGAGCGCUAUGCUCAUUAUUAGUAUCUUGAUUAGUUUCAAUACACCUUCUCUGGAAGUGUAUUAGUUUCUUUUUGAUACCUUCUCUUGAGGAGCCUUCUCUUCCUUCGGCAAACAAGCUAAGGCUUUCGGGAACAGAACUCACUGCUUUCUCAUCAAAUAGAUUGUAUACUGUAUCCUAGAAUAGAAGCUAUGUCCACCUCAUCAAAUAGAUUGUAUACUGUAUCCUAGAAUAGAAGCUAUGUCCACCACCCCAUACGACUAAUACUAAAUAGAGAGGGCCUCGUGGUUCUCGACCAGUUACAUCUGCUUCGCCUGCUCGUCAAGAUAUUACAUUAAUCUAUUCGCUGUUAUUUGAGCAAGGAGUUGGGGCACACAAUAAGUUCCAUUGUACUGCAAAUGGAAGAAAUCAUUCUCACAAAUAACGGGAAGAAAUCAUUCUCACAAAGAUCAUCCACAACUAAAGGUACUGCGACGCCUGCUUGAACUUCUGCCCCUCCUGUUGUCUCCGUUGCUAUGGGGUUGUCCUCCGCACCAUCUCUAUCUGUCCAACUAAGGUGUCACUGGACUUAAUAAAGCUACUUAUACCUAACCUUGUCCAAGCUUGAUCUUCGACCGACCUCUAUCGCACUUAUUGUUAUUUUAUGGAGUUGCCUCGAAUAAUAUGACUGGUAAUGGCUGGCUCUUUGUUACAUGGCACAGCUGCUCCUCGCCCUCUAUCUUCAUGAUGGAUCCAUCUUAAUUGGAUCUUAUAGUCUUGGUUCUAUUCGUUCGUCUCCAAAAUCCGCCCUUCUCUUUCUUAUGGUCUGGAAUUGGAACUAAUCAAAUAUGUCCGUUGGCAAAGUAGUGAAUCCAAAAUAAUAGGUAAUGUCACAUAUCAUAAUACAUCUAUUAAUCUUAUUUAUUUGUGCAGGACCUACGAACCGGGACAACCGGGAAGCUGAUUGGUAGAGACCAUAUAGUCGGCCACCUGUUUUAGGCUCAGUACUCCCUAACGAACUUAGAAUAUGGUAACUCCACUCAAGACUCUUCACUAGACGUAGACGAGAGAAGGAGCCAAAGAAGAAACGGAAUCCUUUCUAAGAAUUGAAGAUAAGAGUAUGAAGUCAAAGGAACUACAGCAACCAGAUAAGAGUAUGAAAUACAAGGAGCUACAGCAGGACAGGACGGAAAGAAUAGGAACAAGGAAGGGCUUGCUUCACUUGAGUUCCGAGUUAAGAGUUAGAACAAGCAAGUGGUAGAUCAGCAACAGUAAGGGUAGAAAGAAAGUACAGAUUAUAGGCUACAAAUGAACUAGAGCAGCCAACAAGCCGAGAAGAAGCUAAAGAAGGAGCAAGAUCAACAAACGGUUUAGAAGGAGCAAGAUCAACAACCAACCGGUUUGAAAGAUUGCAGUACAGUCGACGGUGUUGGCGCAGCUGCAAACGAGACAGGAGGACCGCGCGAAGAAUCAAUUCCUUCUGAUGCUAAUACGGUUCGAGCUUGAGUAGAGUAUCUUUCAUCCCAACAAGCAGACAGAGCAAAAGAGAUAGAGAAAAUGAAUGAUUUGUGACAAGAAGAGAAGAGAUGGCCCCUUAUAUACAAGUGAACAGGACUCGGUAUAUUAAUUAGUAGCGGUAACUAAUAACUGGCUUCUGAAGCACUAACUGAGCUGAGUUGAGUAAAAAGAGCAUAAGUUGCAGUCUUGUUCGAGGUUUUGAAGCGAAGCGUUAACGGGAGUGAGCUUACCUUAGUUGUCGUAUAUAGAAUAGAAUGAGUGGACCUACUUACUAUAGAAUGAGCGGACCUACUUACUGCAAAGCAAUGUUACAUUUUCUGAGUGACCCCGAGACUAGAAAGAAGCCUUAAGAAGCGGUUUGCCCAGCCCUAUCAAUUGGUUUUUCUCUUCAUGUGCCCUCUUCAACCCUUUCAUAAUGCAAUUGCAAGCAGUACUCUAAGCUUAUACUAUUCGAUUCCAUAAAAGAGCCUACUCUAAGCAGCAUCAGCUAAGAUCAAAUCGUCUGUUGUGCCCGGUCUGUUGCGGGCUAUCAUUCGUAUCUUCAUUGGUAGUUAAGUUACUUGCAUAAACAGGAAAGUCAGAAGUCCCCUAUUCUGGAACACCCUACUUUAUUCAUUUACGAUUACCCUUAUUUUUGUCCUUACCUGCAAACUUCUCAUUUGAGAGAGCGUAAAUAAAGUCCUCUGCCUGCUGUAAGGCCCAAGCAAGGAAAGAAGGGCGGGAGACUCAAAAAGAUGGGUUAGCGAGGCGGGACGAAAGGUUUGAAUUGAUUGAGAAGGACUUGGCCCUAUCGUCAAUCGCCGGUCAAUAUUCUUUCUUUCUACUAUACUAGUUAUCCAAUAAGAGGAAUCGGGGACGGCACUUAGUUUUGACAUUCUUUCUUCGUUGGUACCCCAGAACAAUAGUCAGUAGUCAGGUAUAGCCAGUAGUUGGCCUUAAGCCUAGCAGUGUUACGGAAUCGUGUUCAGGCUCUUAGCACCUUUCUGUAAAUAUCAAGUCUGAAUGUACUUAUCUCUAAGAGAAUGGCUUGCCCCCACAUGUUUUAGAUCUAGAAUCGAAGAGUCAACCCUCGGAUGCCGGUCUUUCACUCCGUGAAGGCUUUACAGAGAACUAGGCUUUUAGCUUCAUUGGAUAAAGGCAGAGAUCACACUGGUUUGUAAUUGCUUUCUUUGGCUGUCACUUCAUUCAUCCGUGAUACCGAAGGCCUUUUCAAAAGCAUCUUUUGAUCCUGUUUUCUCUGCUUUAGGGUAAUCAAACUGUCCCAGAGCAGAAUAAAUGGCAACUAUACUAGUGAGUCAUUUCGUACUUAUGUCGUUGGGGAGCGGAAAUGGCACAGCAAGAAGAAAGAACAACCGAAAGUCUUCGACUUACCUCUAGCAUUUUCUUCUGUAGCUAAUACAACUGAUGUUGCUUCAUCUCCUUUCCCAUCCGCCCGGGGAACCGAGUCCUCUUUAGUUAUUAAUGAAUUGGCUGCUUCAGAGGAUACCACUUAUGUAACUGACUCAGUAGAUGGACGAGACCAACCUCUUUCACCGAGCCGAAAAGUCUGCGUUGCCAGCUGCUUGUUGAAUUCUAUUACAAGGCUCGCACCGCCCUAACCCGAACUCUCUAGGGAACUCUCCUUUCAGAACCGCUCACUCCAAAGCGAACUGCUUACUCUCCACUUUAAUAAUUCGCUAAUGUAGCUCACCUUCUUUUUUGAAUGGAAUCUCUCUCUUUCGCCUGUUCCAACAUUUUCUACCGCAUACCUUCCCUUUUGCUGACCUCUACUUUCCGUUGAAGUUCCUUUCCUUCUACUGAUCUUGAUUCUGAUCUAUCUUUAUGGUCUUGCUUCCCCACCUUCUCUUACAUCUUCUGGGCUUCCAUCGUAGACUUCACUGUCAACCUUUCUUUGGACCACUACUGGGGGCUCAGUAUACCCAACAAGAGCUCAGUAAGCGAGAUCACCUUUUGCCGAACAAUCUCUUUCUUUCAACUGAGUCUGAUCCUAGAACGAGAACACUCAAUGAGUUCUUAAAGCUAUGCAAUGGUUGGUUCCUUUUGAUUCUAUAUAUGUGUGUGAGUGAGAUUCAACAAGCAACUCAUACUUAAUUAACGCCUUAGGAAUGAUUUCUUUUCUUUUGCGUUUCGCACCCAGGCGCUAAGACUUAUUCGUUAGUGGUGAUUUGUAUCGUUAGUAGUGAUUUUGAGUUUCGCAGUGUUUUGUUACUUUUAUUAUAUCACAUAUGCCAUAUAUGCUAAAUAAAGAGGCAUGUAUGCUUUCCUUUUUCCCCUAAUGCCAUAUAGGCUCAAAAGACAGAGGUUGGCCCACCAAGUAGUUUCGUUUUAGAAGCAAAGCAGUGUUUUUGACUCUUUCUUCCAUAAGGACCAGAACCAGAAGAUCCAUUCUACCUAGCAUAAGAUCCAUUCUAUCUAGCGCCAUCAGCCAAUCUGUCAAGCGCCAUUAGCCAAUCUGUCAGCCGAACCUCCUCUCGCCCUUACUUAUUAAUAUUAAGGCUUUCUUAUGAGACCCCUAUUGCUACUGUACCUCUGGCUCAUCUAACUACAUUUCUUUGAUACCGGAAUGAGGCUCCUCUACCUCCUUAUUCUUCCCUUAGCUUAGCUCCGGUAGGCAUGAGAACUGAAUAAGUCCUGUAUUAAGGGUUGGUUAGUGACUUUUUCUUUCUAUUACACGCCUCCCCUUCCCUUAAUGUUACUUCAAUGAGUGAACCACUCCCCUCGACCUAGACCACUCCUGUUUCUAUUAGUCUCGACCUAGACCACUCCUGUUUCUAUUAGUAAAGUAACCUAACUCUGAUACUAAGAUACAAACUGAACUCUUGAACUCCCUAGUAAUUCACUCCUCUUUCUUGCCAGUUACCAGAGGUGGAUGAUAAAGCUGCUUGUUCAAUAAGGUAUAAAAGAAGAAAUCUACUAUCUGAUUUCCCCAACUCGUAAACUAGGUAUUCCACGGGAGCAGGUAUAGUUAGAUUAAGGGGGAGGAGUUACAGAGUUACCGACAAAAGUGAAGUUAAAGAAACCUAUCGAAAUUCCAUCUUAUAUAAUAAAGAUCCAAGAUUUCACUCAUAAGAUAGAUAGAAAGUUGGAAUGUAGGGAAUUGUCCUUCCCGAGCCAAGAAAUGUAGGGAAUUGUCCUUCCCGAGCCAAGAGUAGUUAACCAGUCUCUUUGAAACCAACCCGUAGUACUGUUAUAAUACCUAUUGCUCUACUUUCUUUCUUUCUUGAUAGGCCUAGUUGCUAAGGAGCUUUCUGAACCUGAACCAAUUGUUGUUGCUCUGAACCAGAACCACUUGUUGCUGACUGACCUCUAUCUCUUGCCAAUCAAUACUAACCUCACUCCGGAGUGUAGCCCCGGGCUUCCCUUAUCUUUAUUAUCCUGCACCACCAGCAUCUUACUUAAACAAACCCUUCAACUACUCCUGUGAAGAAUAGCUUCCCGCUUCAAAGCCUGUACUUUAGAACCUAUAUCUCCACCACUACAUUAAGGGGCAAGCAAGAACAAAGAGCAAUGGAAUCCCUAGUUUCAUCCGGUAUCGGUCAUCCUAUAUAUAGAGAAAUACUGAAUUUAGUAGUUUCAUAGUAGGGACCAAGCAACUAGGCAUGUAACUUAUAAUGUGCAGCGUCAGUGAACUCGUUACGCGUUAGUGUGAGAGGCGUGGAAGGGAGCUCCAAAGUAGUUGAGGUAGUUGUGGCCUGGCCCAGUUAGAAGAAGUAGAGUGCCCCUCCUAGUAGAAGAAGUAGAGUGCCCCUCCUAGCCCGAGGUAUUAUAUAAGAGAGUAGCCCGCAGUAUUCUUUAUUUCUUGAUUUCUGUAUGUCUUUCUUUAUAGCCAUAGCCUCUACUACCCGAGUAUUGGAAUAAAAUCACAAACACUAAAAUAACUAGAAGAAAGGAGAAACUAGAAGUUAGAAACUACAAGCAAGUGAGAAACUACCAAGUAUGAGUUAUUACAUGUUAUGUAAAGUCCUGUAUUCAUCUCGUAUACUGCCUCAGUAGACACUAAGUAUCAAAAAAGCCAUAUCAAAAUAGAUGUUAUUAUUAAGGAUAAAGUAACUACGAAACUACUAGUUGAAGGGCGAAUACAGAAACACUCAGGAUUCACAGACAGGACUUGGGACAAGUGAUCUUAGCGCUACCCAUAUUGUUAGAAAGCAAGAUAGGUCUCCCCCCUCGUAUUUGCUUGUCUCAGUAAGUUAAGUAAAAGCUCCAGCACCCAUACCCCGUAAGUCAAGAUAGGCUGUUUAUGACUCUUGAGAGCGGAUUCCCUAGUUUCAUUAGUUAUCCUUUAGAAAUAUCAGAUAUAAUUAGUAGGGGCCCAGCAACAAACUACUAGGUUUCAUCCAUUGUUUCAUCGACAAGUCUUGUUCGUUCGGUCAGGUCAACAUUGUCUCCCGCGCCUCCCUAUAACUACUUAUCUAGCCUAUCAUAGUUACCGCAAGACCUAUUUUUGCUUCUUGAAAUCCUGUGUUCGCCUGUUCGUGGGAGUAUAGAGCUUAACUGUAGUAGUGAGUUCAAAAGGAUACUUAUUUGCGUCUAGGGUGGAAUCUGUCUUUUAUACUUUCUAAAGAGAAUAUAUCAUAGAUAAGAAAUAGUAUAAUAGAAGGAAUGCCCUAAUACAUAAUUGCUAGUGAGCUGGCGGUUAGACGCACCCCCAAGAGAUUAUCAACUUGCUUCCUUCCUUGCCUGUAAGAUAGUCUGCCCCCUUAAGGCUCGUAAACUUGCUUCCUUGCCUGUAAACUUGCUUUCUUUCCUGUAAGAUAGUCUGCCCCCUUAAGGCUCUUCUAAUGCUUUGAUGCCUAGAAUCUGGACUUUGGAACUCCCUUUAUGGGCCGAGUCCACCAGUCAUUUCUCUUAGUAAGCGCCUCUUGUCAAACAUUCCAAUUCAACAACUAUCCCUUUUGCACUAGGAAUGAACUAUCCCUUUAGCACUAGGAAUUGAAGAAAGGAUACUCGAACACUACAAGCAAGAUUCGGGUUUCAAAUGAACUAGAACAGCCAGUAAGUACCAACAUAGGCUUGCCUAGUAGCUUGGCAGACUUGGAGUUGCCGAUCCACCUGUUGCUUCAACUCAAUUCUGAGUGUUUCCCAUAAGGCUAGGGACUCAUACUAGGCUAUUAUUACUUAUCUCGGAGAGCAAGGUGCUGAAAGCCUUAUACUUGUUUGUUUCAUUCUGACUUUAGAGUGGAGUGGAGAGCGCAUGGUUAGUUCCCUGAAUCUUAUUAUACCCGGAGAACUCUUCUGUUUCAGGACUUAGCGCAGAAGCCUGAAAAGCCACAGCAUCCCGAUAACUAUAACCAUCUUGACAAUCUGAUACAGCAAUAGCACAACUACUCCUGUUAGCGCAAAUCAUUCCACAACUUUGACUUUUGCCACUUAUACUGGGCCACUCAUCCUUCUCCCUAACCUUAUCCAGCAGCAGUUUUGGCCUCUUCUGAGCUUAAGCAAGAUCCUUAUACCUGCUUUAUACCCGGAUUCGGCAUCUUAUCUUUCCACUGAACAAGCAACUUCAAGUAAUAACACACGACAGCAUCAUUUCCUGACUUUUCAUCUUAUCUUUCCACUCGUAUAAAGUACUUCGCCCCCUUACUUAAUACUUCACUUCUUCUGUAGCAGCUGAUCAGGAUACGGCUUCUGGAACAAUACUUUAUCAAGCUUAUGAUCUUGGGGCGGGAUACUCCACUCUUAUAGCCUCAGAUCUUUCUUACCUUUGUUUAGCACUUGGUAUAUAAGGAAGUAAAUACACAGCUUCUUUACUAUUUCAUCUCUUAUUUCUUCUUGGAAAACGGACCAAGUAACUACAGGAUGUUGAAUAAGUUCCUCUGCUCCGAGUAAAUGGAUUGUUCCGCUGGAGCUCAAAGUAGUGUAGUUAGAAAGUGAGCUAAAGAAUUGCCUGUUCUAAAGUAAGCAGCAUAAAGUCCCUGGCCAAGUAAUUACAGGAAAUUAUUUGCAUGGAGUCUAUUACACCCCCUAGGAAAAGAAUAAAGCAAGUAAGACGAACACUAGCGGCCCUUUAGCCAUGAAUGAGGGAAGGGCGGUCUACUUCAUACGAGAUAGGUGCUUCUUCUCUACGAGUUCGACAGAAUUGAAUUGAGUGUUCCCUAUGAUAGAAAGAAGUCAAAAAAACAAGAAACUCAGGAACUAAGAUAGGGGAUAGUGUUUCGGCCACUCUAAAAGGGAGGGCUUCUGGGAAUCUCCAACUUGUUCAUGCGAACUAUCAUUUCGUUAGCGAGUUCAUUGUCAUCGGCGUUAUGGAGUUCGACAGAAUCGUCUUUUCACAGCCGGACUUGCAUUAUAUGCUAUAUAUACCAAAGACGUUGCUUGUUGAAGAGAAUUGCCUGUGUAACGGAGCUUUGGAAGAAUAUACUGGUUCCAAAAGCGGUAAGCAGUGCUUGUCAAGUCAACUAUACUAAAGAAUGAGCUGUACUUGAAAGUCCAGAGGUGCUGUGCUUGUCAAGUUAACUAUACUAAAGAAUUAGCUGUGCUUGUAAAGUGUAGUUCUGGUAAAGAAUAAAGUCAUGGUAUUUCUAAGUUGAAAGCAUUUAUUCACAGAAAGGAUAGGUCGGAUGCUAGGAAGGUAGAGUGAGUUCAGAUAGCCUACCGAUCUGAGUCUGUUAAGGGAGUAAGUGUAGCUAAGGCUUCUAGUUGUUGACAGUUAAAAAACACAUAGCGCCAAGCAACAUAGAAGUUCUAAUGAGUUAUUCCUGAGUCCUAUACAAGGCCUACGGGACGGGAAGGGAGUUCCUGUCUUAUAGAACAUAGAACAUCAGUGAAGAAAUGAAGUUAGAACAUCAGUGAAGAAAUUCUGUCUGUCUUUGUUUACUUCGGAUCAACUGUCUUUACAGCGCGGUGUACUGAUCAUACGAGCGAGUGUAGUUCCUUCGACGAGAAAUAAGUGUUCUUCAGACAACACCGAUAAUUGCCCAACUUCAUUUCAUAAUAAUACUCUAAGUCCUUCAUACUCGUUUCUUUCUGCUCUUGUUGAAUCAAGAGUAAGCUGAGUCAGCGCAGUGUUCUUUCUCCUGCUUUACUUCAGAAUGGAAGAUGUUGCACGUAAACAUAGUGUCCCGCUGUAGCUUCAAGUGGUAGAAAUAGGUUCCAGUGUUGGUAUCUAUAAGCUCAUCUAUCUCUUUUCUCUGACCAAAUGACAUGAGAAAAGGCCCGCUCUCUCAAGCAGAACAGGUGAGGUGGUGCGUUAAGCAUGCAGUAAACAGAACAAGCAAGGUGCUAAGAGCCAAGGCCAUAAUUGAGUACUUUUGUAUAGGGUUCGGCUGUCAACUGCCUAUGGAGAUGAUUUUCGUAAACCAGCAAGGGAACCAUCCAGAUUAGAUGCUUGAGACGGCGCUAAUAGAGUGGUAGUUCAGUUAAGGGAAAAAGUGAGUCGUGGAGAAUGGAGUUUCACAGUGACAGUUCUUGUUGUUGUCGACGAGAUAAGAUUCGAAAGUGGAGUUUGAGUGUUGUCUAGGUUCGGUGCUAGUUUCAUCGCAAGUCCUGUGUUCGGAAACUAGAAGUAAAACACCAGACUCUAAUAGGCAUUUCAAAGGGUAAGGCAAAGAGGGCUUUUGGAACUAAACUACUGAGAGCUAGACACUAACACCACAAUAAACUCUCUAUACCGACCCUAACUCUACUACUCUUAACAACAAGCAAACUGUCAAAUAGCCAGCCCAUUCUCUAAGUUGAACCCAUGUGUAACGUUACUUAUGAUUACCUAUGUUGCCUUCGUUACGCCUCUUGACUCUUGAAAUGCAUUUCUUCCUAAUAUACGGAAUUAGUUUGCUUUGCGCUGGUCCUACUGGUCCUAUAAGAUUCUUCUUUGCGCUUUGAGGUCGAGAGAUAGAUUCUUUGAGUGCAAGGCCAGAUAUCUUCUUUGAUUGGAAAUUGAAUGCAAGGUUGACCUUCUAACGCGUUGUAUUAGUUUACACUGGCCCAACCAACCCUAGAGAUCGAAUACCAGACUGCACACGCACGGCCUCACAGCUUGUUGAAAGCUUCUAACACGAGUUCUCUUAGCAGGGGUUUCAAUGGAUUUCUAUGUUACUUUAUACUUGGAAUCGCAACGAGAUAACUGAACUUAGAAUUAGGGUAAGGGACUGAGCAUCAUAAGGCAAUGCAAUUCAAGUCCAAGGCAAGCAGAGGUGCUAAGAGCCUAUUUCUACGACAAGGGAAGGCGGCACAAACACCUAUUCUUCUAGAAUGACCAAUUAGCCCUACUCUUUAUACUGAUCUCUACUCUUAACCUCGAAGAUAAAUACAAUCCUAUUUCCCUUUGGAACAGGCAAUUCUCUUAAAGUCGACUAAACAGCGGAUUCUGUUACUUCCUACCCCCAAAACCGUAUAAGAUCAUCUCUGGAUGUGGUAGGUAAGACCUCUUGCACACCUUACGAAAGCUGGAAUAUAUUAGUGCUUGUUACUAAGUUAGUUCAUAAGAUAUUCUUUUCUGGCCUUUCUUUCUUAACUCCCUUAACUGACAGAGACCUGAACAAAUACUACUUAAAGCUAUCAACUGUCCUAAGAAUUCAUUUCGAAUCUAUCUAUAGCAGAAGCAUAGGAUCUAUCUAAUGGCAGGAAUAGAAUCCAUCGAGCGCUCAGCUCCCCUAUACAAUAAGGCAGCCAAUAACUUAUCUUGCAACUUACACUCAAACGGAUCCUGAUAAGACUACGACGGAAGAUGAUUAUUCUAGAACAGGUCGAGUACACCGCGCUCUCUGUACCCGAUUAUGAGUGGAAGGCUUGAACUUCAUCUUGAGAGUCGACCAACACAAACGGAAUGAAUUGACUUAACGGCAACACCCCUUCCUACCCAAUUCAAGUAGAUAUGAAACCCCUCCACUCCACCUUUACCGCGGGCAUGGGCUGCAUACUUUUCUCUUAUCUUAUAGGGCGCACCGGACAAGCAAGAAAUGGAGUGACCAACAAGAGCUACGGUUUAUACCCCCAAUAUGGACUUGAGAUUGACAGCCGGCUCUGCUCUAUCUGUUGACUCUAAUGCUAUAUGCGCAUCCCGUACUCCACCAGCUCCUGCAGAAGAUCUUGAUUCUUAUCCCGUUCCUUAUUCGGCAUCUUAUCCUGCUGGUGCUUAUGAUCCUGGAAGUUCAUCAUUUCUUUGAAUCUCCUCUUGAGCACUUGACUUGUUUCUUGCUUCAGUACUAAGAGCUCCAAUCAACAUAAUGACCUACUGGGGAAACGGAAAACUCUAGGAAUUGACACUCUGUUAGCGAUGUAAAGAGAGACUUGUAGGGCAAAUCCACACAAUGAAUGAAAUCUAUCGAGCAAUAAAAUCAAUUGACCUAGAAACAGCUAGCGCACUUGUUCUUGCCCGAACUGAACUCCCUAGGCUUGUUCGUCUUCUUAGGUCUGGACCUGGCAAUACUUAAUGCUUAAGCUUCAAACAGUCAUCUUUCGAGCGGUCAACUCGCUAAUGCCGAUAAAACAGGAACAGGACAUUCUCCACUUCACCUUGCCUCCUUGUAAGUAAUAUAUGAUUCCCCGACCCGAACUCUAUUAACCGGCAGACAAUGCUCUUGCCCGAACUCUAAUAGACUUGACUUAUCCUCUAAAUUGAAAGAUUCCUUUGUCGACUCAACUUGACUUACCGCGACAACACCUAGAUCAUAUAGAGAUGUGGAAUCAGACCUCUUUUGAUACCUAAUUGCUGCUUACUUUAGUCUUGCUGCUGCCUUUCCUUACUCAACUGACAAAAAAAGAUAUUAUACACAAGGAGUUAGAAAACUUGACUUGCACAGGACAACGACUAAGCUCUUGAGCACCAGAUAUAGAGUGAAGUAAAUACUGUGCUUCCCUUGACUCAACACUUGAAGAAUAUGAUAUUUAUUGAGGAUUACCCCAGUUAUAUACUCUCAAAGUCAGGGAACAGAAGGUAUAGCCCUUUGGUUUUGCUAAGUUGAAGUCAUGUUCAAGGGCUGUCCUCGUAUAUGUCUUCUCCCAUCAGUUCAAUUAGCUUCACCGUUUUCCUCAGUGCUGGAAAGAUCCGUAUUUGUGUUUGACCACUUCAUAAUUGUCAGGUAAAGUUGAAGAGGCAAGCAGACGAAUGUUAAUAAGUGCAAGCAACGUAGACAAAAACUGCCCUUUUGAGUUCUAUAGCGGGUGUGAGGUAUCGAUUCUAAGCCGGGUGUUACUUAUCGAAAUUCCAUUCAACAAUCAAUGGAACGGAACCAGCAACUUCACCUUGUAGUUACGUUCGAGCAGAAGACAUAAUAUCAUCAGCAGGAGCAGGUGCAGAAGUAAGAGUUGUUGACUACCCUACGGCGCUAACAGGAGUAGUUGACAGAUAUUUAUCAUCAACAAAGAAGGAUUCCACUCGCCCAGCAACGUCCUGUUUUUGUCUUUCUCGCCUACCAUGUGCUCUUUCUCCAAAGUAAUCAUUUCUGAAUUGAGUUUUUCUAAGGAAUAUAAGAAUGGAGGGUGAAGUUACCCUUAAAAUCACUGGGGGUAGGUACUGUUAAAGCCAACAUGGUUGAAAUAGACUCUAGAAGGCGUAUGUUAUGCAUUCGCGAAGCUUGGGAAAAGGAGGAAGAUGGAGUAAGAGAAUAACCUAUGUGUUCAGCAAGAAAACCAAAGAAAGGGGUUGGACCACACCAACUUAUAAGAAGUGGUCUUAUACUCUGAAUCACUAAUACUAUCCAUUCGCAGAUGAAGUGAAGCAACAAGAGAAGUUCCAGAGUGCUUUUCCUGAAUUCGAGUCACUUUAUGAAACCUCUUAUACCUCUUAUACCUCUUAUACCUAGUAUACCUCUUAUACCUAGUAUACUAUAUCUCUGCAAUCAUUUCAUUAUAUCUCUGCAAUCAUUUCAUUCAAGUUAGACAGCUUUCAAAGGCUAGAAGGGAGAAUAGUGCCCUUUGAAAGGAAGAGAAUGCCGAUACUUUUGAACAAUCUCCCAUCGGAAAAUAUGAUAAUAUCUUAUUAGCUUAUUAUCAGAGGACCUGACAAUUGCCCUCUGGAGCUAUCACGGCUACCUAAUAACCCACCCUACUAGUUCUUCUGGAUGAGUUCAAUCGCAAUGUAGCAUGGCUUUGCUUGCCGCGCUUCAACAGAUUGAACUUAGCAGUUUCUUUCACAAGUAGUUCUCAGUCUCGCCUGUGAUGCGUUUGCUUUGCUUACAUGGUUUUUCCCUGGACUGAUUGGAAAAAACAAGUUGGAUUGGUCCCUGCCGCUUUCUCUGGGCGGGCUGAGUCUAGUUGCUUCCGCCUGUUCGAUGGAAGUUUUCGUUCUGACUUCGCCGAGUCCAUCUCCAUUGAAAUCUCUCGCCCUCGUGAUAUCUCUAGGAGGAAAAGAAUCGGCCUACUAUGCUCUCCCCCAUCUAAGCUUUUGAGGGCAACGGGUGGGGAGGCUAGAGGCUCGCUGAAGGUACUUCUGUCUCUCUUGGCCGGCCUAUGAUUGUCCAGUCAGCCUUCUUUCUUUCCUUAAGAGUGAAUGGCCCUCUUGACUACUCCAUCUCUGUUUUGGAAUUUCAUGGGAUGUGUUGAAUAAGUGAAAAAAGGGACUACUUUACCAUCGCAUCGGGAGAGUACCAGGAAAGGGUUCAGGAGGAACCUUAUCUCAUCACAUCGGGAGAGUACCAGGAAAGGGUUCAGGAGGAACCUUAUCUCAUUGAUUCUUUCUCCUCCAAUUCCCCCCGGGAAAGCAAGCCCUAUGAAACCUCUAUUCCAUCAAGCAAACCCCGAACAGCAGGUAUGAGCCCUUAGAUUCUCGGAGUUCUAACCUCGAUUAUAUUCGAAAAUCACUGCCCUUGGCCAAAGACAGACAUCUAGAUCAUAGGAAGAAUCGCCCCAACGCAAAAGACAGAGGAAAAGCAAUAUCUAAAAGAACAUCACUGACGCAAUUGGAAGAUCCGCCUUGGCAGCAGCUAUUCUUCCUUCGUAGACAAAAGAGAUUGAAUACAAGGAAUCCUCUGUUUAGGCUUAACUACAGGAAUCAAACCUAGAAAAGCGAAGGGCAUAGGUCCACUCUUCCUACAUUGAUAGACCUCUUAUCUAUUGAAUAAGAAAUUCACAUCUAUUUGUAUUUCUUUUGAGGAAGAUGAUAAAGAGACUUAUUACCUGGUCCACUAGUACACCGUAGUUAUUCGAAUUUCUCGCGGUGGUGGUUUCCUCAUAAACCCUCAGCUAUAGAUCCAUGGACGUCUCCAUUCAUUUACCUUCUCCUCCACUCGAGGACAACCAAAUCCUCAUCAGUCCUUUUGAUGCGUUCGAAAGAAAGUAGAGGAAAGAUAAGAGUGACCAUUGAAAGAAGAAAAGAUGUUACCGACACAGAAAGAAGAAAAGAUGUUACCGACACUGGGAGUAUAGCUCCUAUGUUCCGACCAGAGGAAAAAACGAACAUGGCUUUCCUCCAUAUACCUAGGAAAAAACGAACAUGGCUUUCCUCCAUAUACCUAUUAAGAAGGAGAAUGUCUUUUAACGAUAAUUGCCUGCUUUACAGAUUGACGGAUAAGGCGGGAACUCCUUUUCUUCUUGAAAGCAAGUAAGUCCUAGCCUAGUUAGCCUGUCUCGGUCUCAUGGAAAGGGAAAGCUCAAAUAAAUAAGUAUAGAAGCUGGUCUUGAAUAAUUGCUCCGCUAGAAUCAAGAGAACACUUUUGAUAUACGACAACAUGAUUUACUGUAAAACAAUCCAUCCGUUUUCUCCACACAUUGGGCAUUGGUUACAUAACAUAAGGGACCGUUAUCUUGCUGAAGAUUGACUUACCUUUAAAAGCGAAAGUCAGAUGGAAUGAAUGACGCUCCGCUCGCCCCUACUAUUGUGACAUCGACCCUCUCUCUCGCUUAACUAUGUCCCCGCUUCUAUAGUAUUACUUAUCAACUAUAUGUGCCACAGUUAUCCAGACAUUUGUGAUGGUGGUUGUCAUGUCAAUCAGAGGCAGCGCUAACUCCGAUUUCAUAGUUUGCACGAUAUGUAUGCAGACCCUCGUCUACCUUAUUCAACCUAUUCCCCACCAACUAAAGCACAUUACUCACUUACCUCACAAAUCAUGGUGAUUCCGCCUACCCUUUCACUACCUUUGAACUAGUAAGAUUGGCCAAUAACUCCCCUUUCUAUUGUUUUAGCUUAUCAUCCACAGUCUUGUAUAACAGGGCUUUGUCUUCGGUAGUCUAGUGUGUGUAUCUCGCUUCACUCCUCUUGUGAUAGGCAGUAAGAUGAUGGAUGUUAGAAUUGUAUCUCUGCUAAUGGUCUCUCGUAUGAUAAUUGUAUCUCUGCUAAUGGUCUCUCGUAUACAGAAAGAGGUAUGCUGGAUGAAAUGAUGUAUAGUCAAUUCGGGUCCGGAAUUGAUUUAUGUUAGGUAAACAAAUGGAUGGAUAUACUUAAUGUCGCCACGGCACCUUCUUCUUUUCUGUGCGCUAGUUUUCAAUAGGUCGGAAAAGUGGGAAGAAAGCCUUUCAUACAGAAGUGGUGCUGGUCCUAGGACGUGGGGCUCAACUCCGGAAGUAGAACCCCCUCCACAAUCCAUUUCCUAAAGUAUGUAUAAACCUUCUGCACCCAAGGCAUGCCCCAGAGUUCCCCCUCUUUCUUUUUUCAAAGUUCAAUAGUUUAGUUUAGGUUAUGCUUGGUCUUUUGGUAUAUACUCCAAUUCCGCUAUCAUAACUAAGCUCUAAUUCUUUGCUUGCCAAGCAAGGUGGUCAAUAGUUCUUUCUAGUUUGGUAGUGAUAGUUCGCCAAGCUACUACUUUCAAUAGAAAUGGAAGGAGGUGAUUCUGUUGUCUCAGUAUACUUUCCAAUUCUAUAUGUAUGUGCUGCAGCUUAUGUUUCUUAUUCCGUUGUGUUAACACGCUUGCGGAUUCUCUUCUUUGAAGAUUCAUCUACUCUCUAUACUUGGACACAUGCGAUUUGUGCACCGCUCUAUCCCUAUUUCAAAUAACUGAAUGGAGUAUAUGCUUGGUUAGGAGCUUUGAUACUCUUUUCUUUCCUUCCUAACAGACACAGAGACGUAAUUCUUUCAGUCCCGAAAAAGGCCCAGGCGAAAGAAGAGGCCAAGAACAGAACUCCAUGAAGACUCAAACCACUCCCCUGCAUAUAAGUAAUCAAUGAUAUAAGUAAUAAAUGAUAUAAGUAAUAAAUGAGAAAUGAUAUCAGAUCAACGAAGAAAGAGUCCGGAUUAUGUAUUUGAGCGAAGAAAGAGUCCGGAUUAUGUAUUUGAGCCUAAGAACAUAGACCUGUUCGGUAUUCACUCGACACUACUACAUAUCGGCACCAACAUCUACUCACUUCUUGACUGCCCCUUUACCCUUACCCGAUCCCAUGCCCAUGCCUAGCGAUCUAAGCCCGAAAGCAUAGAAUGACUUUUCGAAUUGAUCCAUAUAUUACUCGAUUGCAUGGAAUGACUUUUCUUAUCUAUCUAUAUAUUAACCGAUAGCAAGACAAGCCCUGGAUCCCAAUCCAAUUCCUCUCUCCUGGCAGCAAAGAAAGAAGGGGAGAUCCCCGCUAUCUAUCUACUGGUCACUUAUCCACUGGUCACUUUACUGGCUCAUAACUCGAGCAGUUGCUUGGCCAGACUUAUGCUUAUCCGCCAGGUGGUAACGGGACUACCCUCCUUAUCCUUUGCGGGGUCUACUUCCUUUGUUAUCCCUACCUAUACAUCUUUCCUUUCCCGCGUCGGGGAUGCCGGAAGCAAACACUUUGGAUCUUGUUUAUUUCAUAUUAAUAGUUCGCUCAGUAAAUCCUUCGUUGAAGCAACGGCUUACUCGCAAGAGGAGGCAUAGACUGUGGUGGCUUAUCGAGCAGCUCCACCAGUGCCAUCUAUUACACAGCAGCGGUGAAGCUAGCAGCAGAUACUUUAUGCAUUCCGGGAGAAAGAAAGCAAGUGGUCCCAAGAGCGGAUUUGAGUGCUGGAACUAGUUGUGCUCCUACUCAUACUGGGCCAAAGGACGGGGAUUCAAAUGACAAGAAUAGUGCCCAGCUACAUCAACGGUUCGAAAUCAGUUACUUGUAACAAAUCCAGACAAAGAAGUUGAUCCUUUAGAUUCUAUUGAUCCCCCGGUGAUCCAGUCCCUAUUUAGCAGAGUAGACCGAGGUCGGAAUGGGAUCGGGUCUUUUCACGUCUCACCGUAGUGCCCGUCUUUAUGAACAUAUUGGAUGACUCUGGCUACGUGUCCUUCCUUCCUGCCCUCAGAGCUGAUUCGACGGGAUGCCUAAGAGCAACGAAUUCUUCUUUCCUGAAAGAGCCUAUUCGAGAACAGUAAGAGCAGAUUCGAGGGCAUCAAUUCAUGGUUUCCUCUUCUUUGACUAUUAUACCUACCCAUGGGAACUGUGAACAACCGAUUCUUACACCUCAUCUGCACCUCAAAACAGGGCAUUAUCGAGCAGCUCCUUCUGUAACAGCAGCAGUUGAUUCAAUAGCAACGGAGUCAGUAACGGCGGAUUCUAGCACAACAACCUAUUCUAUAACAAGAAGAGCGGAUACGUCGUUCUUUCAAAGAGCGCUUAUUCCCCUUCAUGUAAAGCCUAUUCUCCUAACAUAAAGCAAAAAGGGAUUCAGGCUCAAGGCACUUUUGGACUCUAUUCCUUCUAAGGAGAGUGAAGAAUCAAUCCAUUGCUUUAAAUACGAAUAGUGGGCGUAUAUUUUCCAGUUACAGAAAGACGUAUAGUUUUAGGGGAAAGGAUAACCAUAGAACCGUUUUGAAAAUGGAUCAGUUGACCCGGUAUACGAAUUCAUUCUAACUAUCAACAAAUUGUGGCUCAAUGGGGAUUGUCAUUCUUUCUACUUUUUCCUUAAUUAAGUCCUAAGUUCUUCAGUAGCUCAGUGGUAGAGCGGUCGGCUGUUAACUGACUGGUCGUAGGUUCGAAUCCUACUUGGGGAGAUUGGAUUCAUGAUUUCUAGGUUAAUGAAGAAUAGAGUGAAAAGGAAGGAAGGGCUCGGACCGUUAGGAGUAUCCGUUCGCUGUCCUUGUUUCUAUUGCAUUCUAUAUCUCAUCUACUCACAUUCUGUUCAACGAUAUAUAAGAAUCGCAAUACCUCGGCUCCGAUCCCUUGUAAAUAUCCAAUUCAUCAUUCUUAGAUGAUGUACUAGCAGUGUCUCCUUUUGAUCAUCGAUUUUCCCGAUAGGCCACAAGCGAGCAAACAUAUUAAUGACGAGGAACGAUUGCAAUACAACUAAUACUAUACUUGUGCUCUGUUAUUCUGUCCAAAAGCCUUUGUGCUUGCUAUGCCACUAAUACUUGAGACUUGUGCUUGCUAUGCCACUAAUACUUCACUUGCGAGGAAGGCUUGCUAUGCCACUAAUACAAAUACUUGCUCUGCAAUUCUUCCCUGGCUGAGGAAGAGUUCUGGGGAGUAACAAAUAUGCUGAUUACGGUAUUGGUUACAAGAGUUCUGGGGAGUAACAAAUAUGCUGAUUACGGUAUUGGUUACAAUAUGUAAUGAUCGAAUCUUUCAUGAGAAAUCCAAAUCAGUAGUAAGGCCAUUCCAUUUCGACAAAGAAAGACCAUUGCAAACCAAGUUCAAUAGCUUUGCGUCCGCUAUCCAUUUUCCUACCCACACCCCUGAGGGAAAGGUCCAAACCAAAAGGUCAGAUUGUAGGCGAGGAGGGAUUCGCCAACACCGUAGCCACGUGCUCUAAUCCUCUGAGCAACAGGCCCCACCCCGUCUCCACAGGAGAAGUUCCCGGGAGUACCAUAAUAAAGGAACCUUUCCUAUCCUCUGCCAUUUCGGGUUAAGAAGAUGUAAAAGGCGCCUUUCUCUCCAUUUCUAUCUAUCUAUAAAGAAAGACAUAAAUCUCACAGUGCGUUCCGAGGUGUGAAGUGAUAGAGAAGAUAAGUCAUAAUUCUCGUUUUUCAUAAGACAGACGACCUUGGCAUUUUGGAUUUCUAUCUAUUUCACAUAUUUCCAAUUAUAGAAUAAAUCAAAUAAGGAAAGGUGUUUUGUUACUAUAUUUCUCAGAUGUUGAAUAGAUAUGAUUUCAUUGAUUUUAGUUUAGAGUGUUUUUCAUUAAUUAUAGAAUAAUGCCUGGGUCCCUUACCUUAGAAUCGAAAACACAAGAUUCAUCCCAGUAUGCACGGAGCCAGAAAGGCAACCCCCCUUGAAACCAUGGGAAGCUAUCAUGGAAGAAUUGAACCUCGUUGAAAUAGUUUCUCUUUCUAUUUCCUUACCGUAGGUUAGUAAAGGAAGGCUUACCAUUGUGCAUUAAUCCCUCUUUCCUUUCAAUUCAAAGAAGAUGUUUUCCCAUAGAAACCGUCAUCUCUCUGUGUCCAUCGCUCUUUGUUUGGUUGGUGGAAUGCUCUCACCGAAGGCUUGGGAUAUUUUUGGAAAGCUUUCAUAGCGGGUUAGUGUAUUAGUUGCUACUAAAAUGGAACUAGCUAGCAGCUUAAGUUAGGAAGGAAGUGGCUAGAGCAUCUACCCCGGGUUCAUGAACUUACAGACUUGCUUGGUCAGCUACAUCUUUAUGGUUCUAACAAGCGACGCUUCCCUCUCUUACCACACAAAGCGAUUCGUGCACAUAGUCUCAAUCUAGUAUGUCGAAUACCUAUGACUUCGAAUACAGCCAACAGUAAUGAAGUUAGUAAAGUAGUAGGAAGCUAAAGACAGUUUAAGGCAUUGAGCUAACCAACGACUAAUGACCAAGCCAGGCAAGCAACUACGACUGAACCUUGGAACUACCCUUUCUCAUGGAUACUUUCCUGGAACUGAACCGAACCUUUCUACUAUUCCUGGAGUGGAGACAACACCUCCGAUUCUCCCUCUCUGGUCUACUUUACUCACACAACGGAUUCAGUUGCGAGAAUACACAUUGCAUCCAAGUUCUUAUAAUUACCCGUAUCAUCUAUUCAAUACACUACUCUUUCUUUCAAACUCCGUUAGCGAGCCACGCCUUUCAACAUUAACAGUGGAUUCUCUAACUGCGGAUGUUAUCAUCAAAAGAAUGAGGCUCAACGCACCUUGGUUUUGAUACUCUCGGAUACCUCCACAUUGUCCUGAAGUUUCUAUAAGUUAUGAUGUUGAUGAUCCUUUAUAUUAGGAAAUUUCCCCCUCGUAUCCAGUGAGGCAUCUACUCUUGAAUGAUCUUUCUACCAACAAAGUUUCCGACUUAAGGCAUGGCUUCAUUAAUGAAUUGAGGCAUCUGAUUCAACGGAUUUAGGGGGUUCAAGCUCUUUGGUUCAGUAAUAGCUUUUCGUGGGGCUAGUUUCUGUCUUCGAUUAGCUUUAUCAAAUAGAAUUCUCUUAUGUAGUUGACCUUUUCUUCUUCACUACGGGUAGCUCCUAGCAACGAUGCCUAUGCCUACUUAGCCUAUUUUCUCUCUAAGGAUUUCUCUCACAGAGAAUCAAAAGAAAGCUUUCCGGGCCUUCUGGUCUUGCUUGAGUAAGCUUAGCUAGAGAUGGAGGAAGCCUUACCUUCUUAUCAAAGACGUCGACAGAGAAAGUGAUCUCGAUAUGUCUCUGCCACCAAGUUUAGAAGCAAGUAUCCAAGAUGGUAUUUAGCUCGCUCCUUAGAUAGGCGAUAGCUCCCUCUUUCUCGGUCAACCAAAAGCAUCUCCUCUGCUUCGUGUCGAAAGUUUCAAUCAGAUGUCUUUUCUUUCUCAUUUCGGUGCAAUUCCUAUUUCUAUUGCUUAAGUCUAAUUAGCUCAAAAACAAGGGUCAAUUGGGUUAUAUAGUUAGUGGCAACCCCACCUGCCAUUUCGCCCUUCCCCUUCCAAUUUCAAUGAAAAGAAGCAAUACGAUUUGUUCUUCCUAUGAUGAGAAGGAAGGCCAUAUAGGAGUACAUAUAUCUUUCAACACCAAAUGUGGAAAAGGCAGAUUUCAAAGAGCGACCUCCUCCAAGCCGGGACACCGAAACUAACGUCGUGCAGCCGAGUAGGAAAGCAGCGAAGCAGUUACUUCGAUCACCGGAGCGAGGCUUCGUUAAUCUGUAAAAAGGUACUUUGCUUUAGAAUCAUAAGAGUGUUAGGAUCCCGCAUACAACAACUAACGUUUCGUCUUUACCUGAUAUCAAUCCUGUUUCCUUGUUUUAGCGAUGCGCAUGGGUGGACUACCCGAUAAAGUAAUAAAAACAACCAAAUACAAUAGAGUUAUUACAUCCAUCUGUUUAGCAAAGAGCAUCGCUAGCACUGAAAUAAGUAUAAGCUAAAUAAGUGCACCGCUUGCUUUAAGCCGGGUUCUUUUUCUUUUGAUCACCCUUUUUGUUUGUUUCUGUGCCCCAAGAAUUUAUUGAUCCAUAAGUUGCUAUUCGAGAUGCCUUAAACAUUAUCCUUCUUUAUAACCCAGAGUAGCAUCCUAAGGCAAAACCCCUCUGAACCUCCAAAAACUCAUCUUCCGUCUGCUUAAUAAGGAAGGGUCCAAGCCAAGUUUCGGAAUUAGUCCCUUCCCCCCUACAGCAAGUUCGAGCCUCAACAGCCUUAUCUCUUUCUGCUAACUUAGAAUUCCUUGCUUGCCGGCUUACUAAUUACUACAAGGCGGUGGUAGACUCAUUUUCUUACUCGACCGGAUCUGUGCGCUCUUUUGGUUGGUGUUCCGUGAUUGAAAGAGAUGAUCGGAUCAAAUCGAAUUAGCUAGAUUCCACUUAUAUCCCAGGGUAGAAGGGAAGGCACGAAGGGUCAAAGAAUAAGUCUAAGGCUAUGCUCUGGGUUAUGGGAAGGUCGUUCAGUCACACCCGAUGGAUAAGUAGUUCUUCCUAUCUUAGCAUCUUAACCGGAGAAAAAAGGCUUCAAGAAUGCAGAACUUGACUCUUUGCGUAGAAUUCAAUUCCAGCUAUCAUGGCUAAUGAAUCAACUGGUAUUGGACUGCUCUCAAAGGCCAGGGGGGAUGGACGGACAACAAUCCCGGAGGGAAAGGCAAAAGCAUAAGUACUUAGACUAUAUGUCCUUAUCAGAACUCUUUCUCUAUGUCCGGAUUGAACAUUCCAAUCGAAGAAGCGAUGGCACCUCUGCUUUACCGAACAAGUAAAAGUCCGUUACUCACAGUAUCUUAAUUGACUGGAAUGAAUCGCUUUUGAUGCUUGCCAAAUCAUGGAAUUUGAGUCGUUUUAUUAGUCCAUUAGGGAAAAGUUUAGAUAGAGACAAAGUUGAUACUUAUUUAUUGAUGAUUGGGCCCUCCUUUCUAUUGUUCUUGUUGGGGCGCUAACUUAGUAUUUCUUUGAAAACGCAUCUUUGAAAGCUGGUAAGGAAGCUAGCUAGCUGCAAUCCAUUUCGAGAGGAUUCCCGAAUUCAUUCUCCACGUGCUUGAUCUCCUAUACAACUUGAGCAAGCCUUUCUUUCUUAAGCACAAAGUAAUAAGAUAAAGGCCUCAGUCAUCAUUCAGUAGCGUGGGCCUUUUUUCACAUCUCGUUGUAGUGUCUGCUUUCAUUCAUGAAGUUGCGAGGCACACGAGUAGGCAAGUCAUUAUGGAGGAAGCACUGUUUUAAGGCUAAGUUCAUCAAGAUUCUCAAUGAAGCUAUUGGAAGCACGAUGGAAGGACCAUCAAUCAAUGUACAGAGGUUCCACCCCAACCCUUUAAGGAUAAAGAAUAGACGGUUGAAGCAAGCAAUCGAUACAAAGAAGCAGAGCUGUAUACUAAGACUCCUUUCCUUCUCCUGUAUACUAAGACUCCUUUCCUUCUCGUCGUAGCUAACGCCCCUCCCUUUUGAUAAUGCUUUGAGCCUGGACUUUUUUCGUUCGUUCCUUGAGCGCUAUGACAUAUUUCUACGGCGAAGCUACGUUCUUUCUUCCUAGAAACGGCGUGAAAGCCUAACUGGAAGCUAUUCAGACUUACCUUCCUAAUAGACAUACAAAUUCUAACGAGAAAGCCAAUCCCCUGCUGCUUUAUUAUUAUUAAUGAGAGAUUGAGAGAAAACUAGUUAUUAAUGAGAGAUGGAGAGAAAACUAGACCAUUCCGUAACGAGUUACUUCGUUCCUUGAUAACCCAUCCUAUUUGACUUGUUUGAGUUUUCACUGCAGAUGUCUCCGUUCCCCCUGGGCCUAGCUUUCUUUAACCUUGUUAGGGCCUUGCCCACUGUCUUAGCCUGGAAUGUUGCGCAACCCUCGUUUAGCAACAAUUGAGAUUUCGCCCGGACUUAUUAAUCAUUGGAGCUUACCUACCUCUAUCUUAAGAAAAAGUAAGUCACCGCUAGCUCUGUGGGGCAGUCCAAUCUGUCCAUUACGACAGCCAUUCCUUAAGGAUUAGAAUAGUGCCCGUCCUAGCUUGAAAUUAGUUACAUCGUUGGAAGUCUUAUCAAGCGAAAUGAAAGGGAUGCGUUUCGGUUUGUCUUUUCGUUCUUUCUGUGAUUGAAGUUGCUCCCGUUUAUGUGUUACUUGCCGAUGUCAAAGCUCUUCCUUGUGCUUGUGUGGGACCGAAUGGAAAGUUCCAGAAUGCCAAAAUAUGUCUUCGGCGCGUUCCAGCUGGAACCGGAUUGCCAUACUCAUUCGCUUCACUGACAAUACAUCUCAAACUUAUGGGCCAGCGCCUGCCUACUAGCCAUUUGAAAAAGAGCUUCCUACUGACUCGGGAAGACAACCAGCGCCCUCCUUAUCGUUAGAGGUGAAAGGAUAGGUAUUGCCAUCGAGUCAUAUAGUAUCCGAGAAUUCAAUGAAAAGUAGAAAGUCUUCGACUGAACCAAGAAUCACUUCAUCUUUUUCUCUAGUGCUUGGAAUUAGGAUGUUACCAAAUAACCUAACAGCUCUAUUCGACUUCCCAUCUAUAUAUCUUAUUUGAGUUCCGCUUUGUCUCUCGCGGGUUUCUUCUUUAUUCCGAGCAUCUCAAUCAGCUCUCGAAACCAAAGAAAGGUAUUUGGAGAAAAUGCAUGAGAGAACUACUGAAUACCAUGGAAGAAACUACAUUUCGAACCUCCCUUGAGCACAUCGGUUCUAUGGUCCAGUUGACUUGCUAAUAACUCACUACCGAAAGUAUCGGAUUGUAAUAUUAAUACGAAAUCUAUGUAUCGUAGAAUUGGGCAUAACCUUACUUUCUCACUUCCUAGCUCCACUGCCGCGUAACAUUAUCAGUCCCAACAAGGACUCUGAUUCUGACUCAUGAUUCCUACUCCAGAUACAACUGGUUCAUUAGAUUCUCUCGAUCUAGUAUCUUCUCUAUUCUCUUGUUCCGGGUGAAACUCAGUAGUUAUGUAUUUGAGCACCUAGUAUAGAAAGGAGGAAAUACCCAGCUCCUAAUCCUUAUCCUGACUUUACAGCUACAACCGACUGGGGAAGAUAUAUCCUUGUGGGGAGCCACUUUUACCUCAGACAAUAUGCCCGAACAGGAAGGAAGGAAAAUCGGAUACUAACCAAAAGGAAAGGAAUGGAAGGAAGGAAAAGAAAAGAGUGUAGCGCUACGCGAGUUAACCACGCUCCAGAGGACCUAUGCACAUAAGCUAGCCUCCCUUUCAUGCCUUUCACUCUUCCGAGCCCGGCCCGACCUUAACUCUGUAUUUCACCUUGAAGUAUUCCAUUACCGGCCUCACAUCUUUAUCCACUAGCUCUAAAACGGACACUGCCUAUUUGCAUUCUUCCGCUCAUCGGUAUGAUCCAGUGCAUCCAACUACGAGCUAUAAGUAGUUACGAAAGAAUAAAGAGUUGAUACACCGACAAGGAAUACAUCUAUUAGUGGAAGGGCCGAUAUCACUACUAACAAGAAUAGAGCAGUGUGCUCUACACGCUUCAACUCAAAAGAGAGAACCGAACCAAGAAGUAAAAGCCUUAUUAUAUGCCCCAGCAGACCAAGCUUGAUUUUAUGUAUCGCUUGUCCACUCCGCAGAGUGAUUCAAAUUGGGGGUACCUGGCAAAGGUGUAUAGGUUGGAGUCUCGAUUUGGAAAUACAGGAAUUAGGGCAUACGAAUCGGAAUAAGUAAUUGAGAGAUCAAUCCUGAAAUACAGAAUGAAAACAUCAAGUAUAAGACCGAAGCUCAAACAGGAGAAUGAAAGACUAUAGUUUGGAGUUUCUCGGAAUUAAGUAAUGGAAGAUAGCGCCAGAGGAAUCAGAAUCAUUAAUGGAAUCAAUCCUGCUUUACGGAAUGAAAGUGUUGAUGCAUGGACUUGCUUUGUCCAUUGUGGAGCGGCGAUCUGUCUCGCUUCCCUGCCUUUGAUUCUCCUAACCUAAUGCUUCCCGGCAUCCUGACUUAUGUGUUUCACUAUUACUCUCCUUUCUUUUAUUCUGUAGUUGGUAGCUUAAAUACCUGGGCUCUUGUCUAGGUUUGUUAGCAUAGUAGUUCACUCCGGUAAAUCUGACUUCACUAUCUAUUAGGCUGACUUUCCUAUAUAUAUGAGUAUGCCUUUCCUUUCGACUAAUAUGCCUGCCCUUGCUUGAAGUCUACCUUCCAUAACACUGAUUCUGACUAUUUCCUACAUCAUUCUGCAAAUAAAUACUUGCGUUCUGUAGUUACUGAUCUAGAGCCCUACUUUCAUUCGACACCCCUUCCUGGCAUGCUCACUUUUGAGUUGAAGAACCAACCUACUAUAUAUCAGACUGUAGUUACUGUUUCCAAGACUUAAUCCAUCAACCAGGGAAUCCAACGUUACCUACUAGAAUAGAAAUACUAACCAUCCAAAUGGAACUGAUGCUAAUAAGAAUAGAGCUUACUGGCUAACAACCUACCCCUCUUUGCUUAGAGUCCCCGGCUGUACUGUGUCUAUGAGAACGAAACUACUUAGCUUGCUUUCUUUAGCUACCGAUUCAAACUGUCACUGCCUACUUUCUUUCCGGUACUACCGAUACGGGUCCUUGCCUGCUAUGUUGAGUCUACCUCUUAUUAGAAUAGACCGCCCUUAGUUGAAGCCUCGCUCGGCCUGUCUUCGGGGAAGCAUUAUUCAAGUCAAAAACAAAGCACAUAGUCCUUUAGACCACGAGCUCAUUCUUAACGUCGGGUAACUAUUUCUGUAUACCGAUCCGGAACUACAAUACAAAUAGUAUAAAUCAAUAAUGAAAUUCAAGGAUCGACCAAGCAAAAGUGAAGGAAUAACUAAGUAGUAAGGGAGUUGAGAGCAGAACCCCGCCUAUCCUUUAGUUAAGUCCACCUUCCUGCCUCAUAGAGAUAGCCUGACUUUACUUAUUUAUUAAACCCUAGCUCAAGGCCAGUACUUGUUCCUUCCGGUCCUGUAGUUGUCCCUGCUACACCUAUGUUUUAGUAUGUAUCAUAGUAAAAGCACUAGGCUUUCAGCACCUUAUUAUUAGUCAAAGUCCAGUUAGGCACUAGUUAAGUCCCAGCCCCUGGUUUACGUAUUUGUUAUGUAAGUCAGUCUUAUCGAAGAGUAGUCUCUUCUUGUUGGCACUAGUUAUUGAUUGAAACUAAACCAACCACAUCAGCAUAUGGAACGCCCUACUAUAUUGAUGUGAUGGAACAAAACCUAUACUCUAUGUGAUGGAACGAAACCAACCCUACUGCAUUGACAGAUGGCCCCACUACUAUAUUGAUUGUAUCAAGGGUCUUGUAUUUUGAUAACAAACAGAAUCAGAGCAGGCCCACUAUAGGACUCCGGGUAUACUAAUAAUAUGACUCCGGGUUUGGAACCAAUGAACUGACUCUUUGAAUCUACUAUUUCUUAACGCUGACUCUUUGAAUCUACUAUUUCUUAACGGUAGUGGUUUUAUUCCGAUAGUAGUAAGCUCAUUCCGAUAGUAGUAAGCUUCAGUCUGCUAGAGUGGGGGACUAUUCAAUAACUAAGGAGCCAGGAUUAGGUGCACAAGUGGGGGCAGGCUCAUUGUCAUUAGAUACAGUUUAAGUACCCAAGGUAUAAGAACGAUGGAAAGUAAAGUAGCCUUAGAGACAGUAAAGACAGUUUUGGUGUAAGUAGUGACAUUACUAGAAGCACCCGUUUUCUUAUUUCAGGUAGGGGUGAGACUCCCUGUUGCUUGUUUACUGCUUAGAGGGUAGCAGUGAACUCUGGUAGUUGAUAGUGGAACAGUUAAAGACAGGAAUAACGGAGUGGGAUCUGUACUAAUGAGAAUGCAAAUAAGUAGUUAGAAGAGGAGUGAGGUAAGCAAGGGCAGCGUCAGCUGCCAGUAAGUAAGGGCGGAGUUAAAGAAAGCAGUGUAAGCCCAAGGUUUGGUUUACAAAGUCAGGCCUUAAGGCAGGAAUGGAAGUUUCCGUCUACAACUAGUGGGAAGUAAUACAGGAUUGGUAGCUGAGGAGUUGGGAGUGGCAGACUUACAAUAAAGCAUAGCAUUCUACAUUGAGUGCAAUUCUUUGGCUACUGGGUUGAGUUCCUAUACAUACGAGUUCCACUCUGAUCCCUUGGUGGGGGGCGUGGCAUUCUUCGGCUACAGAUCCGGAUGAUUAACCAAUAGCAAUAAUAGAAUGGAGCUACUACGGAUAAGACUGAAACUGCCGAUUUGGAGCCUUACUACUUAGCAGCACUAUUCACCCCUGGGAGAACGAUCUCACUUUCCUAUAUCUCGUUCUCAAACUACAACAAAUAGACUUAUACAAAUGCUAAUAAUAAUUGAACUCAGCGGUAACAUAAUCCAACUGUAAACUGGGCUCUCUCAACAGUGCGCAACGAGACCCACCACUAAAACCUAGCCUUUCACUCCGGCAUCUAAGUAUAUAUUUGACUAUAGGGCUUGGGCUUAUUACUUCUAUUAGAAAUUAUACUACUAACUUACUUACUCGUUUGUUUGAUUCCACUAUAUCACUCGCCCGCUACUCACUAAAGGUAUUCCACGCCUUUACAGAAGUGUUACUUGAAAACGGAAACUACUGCCUACCUCCCCUAACUUUGGAUUCUGACUUAUGCUUUUGUGAUUCAUCCUGUAUUGAUAGCUUGAUUAUGCCCCUAUCGAACAUAGGAUAUGGAUGCCAACUACUUACUUAAAUACUUUAGACUCGGGAAAGCAUCUCGGGAAAGCAAGCAUCUCAGAAACCUAUUGCUCCUGGACUCUACAGUCAAUCUUUUUGACCCUAUCUUUAGUGGGCUUGACAAAAUAGCUUCUUUCUAGAUACAUACGACAUCACUCGAACAGAAAGAAGUUAACAUCUUCCAUAAUCUAUUUAAACCACUGCAACAAGCAAACAAGCAACGGAGGUGCUAAGAGCCUUGUAUUAAUUGAGUUUCGGGGGGUGGUGUGCGAGUUCCACUUGUUCAGUUGUGCUUACGAUAGUUUUUGGAGUUAGAGUUAGGUUACCGCUACGUAGGGUUAGAAUAUGUCUCUACUAAAUAUGAUUUGCUUCCUUUACUGAACUGCCUAAACCUCUUUAUCUCAUUCCUUUUUCAUACGAGCGAGUGGAGUUCGAGCAACCAAGCUUAUUCUUAUUCUGAUUUGAGUCUUAGGGUGUAUUAGCUUACUUGAGCAGGUGCUAAUGUGAGCUUUGGAGGAGUAAUCUGUGAGGUCACUCUCUCACAUAAUGGGUACACUAAUAUUCUUUCUUAUAGAGAGCCUCGAUUGUUCUUUGUUUAGACUAUAUGGGUUUGUUUUCAAGACCGGAACUAUCAACCACUCAGCGAUCUCUCCCCGAGGCUAUUUCGAUUUUCUUCCUACAAAUGGAAUAUUACUAUAUAUUUUAUAGAAACUAUAUAUUUUAUAGAAACACUAACUAUCUGCCAGAUGCAAAUCUAUAUUUCGAUGUUUCUAGUCUAUAAAUACUCCACUCCAUGUCUAUAAAUCCACUUUCCCUCGACUCUAUGUCUAAAUCCAAUCAAGCGGUAAGAAGUUAUUAAGAAUCAAAGGAUUCAUGGUCAAAUCCCUACAUUCUGAAAUUUCUUAGAAUUAUGACUAAGCGAGGAAUCCAAAGGUGUAGUUUGAAUUAGUUGGUAGCUUGGAGGAUUACAAACAUGACUAUUGCUUUCCAAUUAGCAGUUUUAGCAUGAAUUGCUCUACUUCAUCAGUCUUACUUAUUUGUGUACCCGUUGUAUUUUCUUCUUCUGAUGCCAAUACUGAAUUUCAAAUAAUCAAAAGAAUAUUAUGGAUUCCGGUACAUCAUUAUGGAUUGGAUUUGUCUUUCAGGUGGCUACCCUUAAUUCUCUCAUCUCUGGGGACUUUUUCCGUAUAUAUCCCAAAACUCCAUAGCUUCUACACCUGGGCUUAGUUAGCACCGGUCCAAGAAUUCUCAUUCGGGUCAUCCGUAAAAUAGGUAAAGCUAGUGGUACGUCCCUUAUCUUAUGGUUUGCGAAUGUUUAGACCCUUUUGCUGAAGCCUUUGCUUUUUGACUGUCUAUUCCAUACGUUGUUUCUCAUCAAAGUAAGAAGCCUUUCGAUGCCUUUUGACUCAAUUACUGUCCAUUCCAUACGUUGUUUCUCUAAUAGCGAUGUUGUUAGAAAUUAGCAAUAGAUUGAUUAUCCGAUUCAAAUAGGAGAAAGCCCUCGACUACUAAUCAAGGGGGAAGCAAGCCAGAUUAAUUCAUUUCGUUUUUCCUAAGGUUAAGUCAAACAAGAUAAUGAUGCUUUUACGCUCAUCUGGUCCUAAGCGCUACUUUUGCUUAUGAAGCUAAGCUCUCUUCCUCUCUUUUGAAUCCUGGGUUAGGUUGUUUAAGGUGUGUCCCGGCCCUUAGUGUCUGCUAACUGCUAAGAAGCUCAGGUCGGUCUUAUUUCCGGACAAAGACGACUAUCUCAUAAGCGUUGGCCGUUCCCGAAAGCCUAGAUCUUGACUCCAUUCUGUCAGUGAAGCAAGCAUCCAACUGAUACAGGUACUCCUUACUAUGCCUUUUUUUCACCUUUCUACUUUCUCCUUACAUUGACUGGGCCCUAGAUGGAUUUCCUCGGUGGGCCGAACUCCUCUCGACCAAAAAGGGUAAGCAAGAGAGCGCCCAACGCUUUUCCUUCGCGCCAGAUGAACAUAAGAUUCCAAUCGCCCACAAAACGAAAUGGGACCGCAAUAGUGGGUUGGUUCCUUCUUAAGAAGAAUAUAAGUCAAUAAAUAACAUUUGAGUUUGUGAUCUGAGCCCCACCCGAGGUUUUUCUAGGACGCGUGGCUUUCCAUUUCUUUUCCUAAACCAAUUGAGCUAUCGGUCUGUACAAAGCCAAAGAAAGAGUGUCCCGCUUUUCCCUUGUUUGUGAACCGAGAUCCAUCUAGUCUAGUCCUAGGUUGUCUGAGGCCUUUCUUUGAUCUUGUUGAAAUAAAUAGGAUUGAUUUGAGCGAAAAGUAGGUUAGAGUUGUUUGCUUGGCUUCAUCGGCCAUUUUCUGUACAAAGGAUCUGUGGCAGUGCUAGACCAAAGCUUACACCUUGCUAAUAAUGGUUAUCAGUCUUUCGGCAAUAUGUACACGAGACAGAGAGUUAUUCCCGGCUUUCUUCCUUUUCCUGCUAUGACUAGAAGAAUUAUAUGUUAAUCUCUUAUCAUAUCCAACUUGGCGAUUACACGACAUGGUGAAGACAGCAUGCUGCAGCAAAUGAUCUCUUGUACUCGCGGAUCGAAGAAGAAUUGCUUUAGAGGAUUCCUUUCCGUUGCUCCCCCAAUCCUUCUUUGCUAUAGUUGUAUUGAUUCUCCAUUAUGAUUGUCUCAUAGGCUCGUGUCAGGCUGAUGCAUUUUGAGGAAUACGUCCAAUCGAAAAGGCUUAUAAUAUCCUUGCUAAUCAAGUGCGAUGAACACUCGCCGAUAGAGAACAGGCAAAACUACACCCGCGGUCGCGUCGGAAGGGUGGGUCGGUGGCUGUCUCACUGUCAAGGAUUAGUUCAGAGAUAUAGAUGUCAUAGUCUUGGCUUGCUUGCUUGCUUUGCAGAACAUAAGGAAUGGCUUCGACCCAGGGAGGUGGUGGUUUUACCUAGUAAUAGAGAUGGGCGUGGAUUCUAUUGGAAGGACUAUUUACACAUGGACCCCACUAUUCAUGAUACUUGGAAAGAAGGCUCUCGCUUACCCACCUGAACCACUAUGGAAAGACGGAUCAAGAAAGAAUAUGGAAUACCAAGAAUACGGAUUUUUGAGUAGGGUAUAAAACAAACAUGUUAUCUGUGCACACUUGGAACCCGAUCCUCAAGCAUAGUCACUACUAGCUGCGACCGAGGACGAAAGCGAAAUGAAUUCCAGAAGCCGGAUAAAGAGAAUCCAAAGUUUCAUAAAGAUCAGGGAAAGAAGAUAGUUAACUACUUAACUAGUAUAGGGUUAGGCAGCCAUUAAGGAUGGUCUUAGUUUGAAGCUCCCUAAUGCGCUUACUUAUUUGCUUGUUUGCUUUCAGAAUCUUAAAUAAGUGUCUCUUUGCGCCCUUGACAAUACUUCAAUUGAAUCUAGCUGCGCCCUUGGCAAUACUUCAUUGAAUCUAGCAUUACUACAAUACUUCAUUGAAUCUAGCGUUACUAAUAAGGGGUCACAAAAUACCUCACCUUUUCUUUCUUCAUCAAAGAAUAUAGGUCACAUUUCGCCUUUGUGCUGUAACUUACUCUCGGGGUGCUUGAGCUUACUUCAGGGAACAAGCUACGGAAAACAAGCAAGAACAAAUAGUUUCGGGUCGGGGUACGUUAGCGAACUCAACUCUACAGGCAAUGAACAAACAAGGGCUUCCACUAUAGCGCCAGUCGUUGCGCAAGAACAAGUAGUUUCGGAGUACAUUAGCGAACUCCACUCUACAAGCAAUGAAUAAGCUGCAACAGAUGAGUCAAGUAUGGAGUUUUCAGGUGGGAGUCAAUCCUCUAUUCAAGGGAUGAGUCAAGGGAAUAACUCGCAAACCUCACUGCUGACAAUCAAGUCACCUCAAUGCUUACAGCUGGCUCUAAAGAAUCUAGCGUUCCACUUGUAUAAGUGCUACAGAAAGUAACCUAACAGUGAAACAAACAUCACUCCUUACUGCGAAACUCGAAAGUCAAGAAAAGAAUCGAGGCAAAAGAGAAACAAGUUGUUGAAACCUUAGUGCUUACUGCUUGUUAUUGAAACCUUAGUGCUUACUGCUGGUUGUUGAAACCUAACUCCUUACUGCUGGCUCAACGCACAAGGGCGCGAACUCCCUUAAGCGCAACAUGAGACUAUGUUCCCUUGCUUCUUUCAUGGAAUCUAGUGCACCUGGAACAAUACUUUCUAAAGCAAGCCUCUUAUCCUGCUCCUACUAACUCAUUGGCUUUUGCUUUUCCCCAACGAUAAUAGAAUCCAAAAGUGACCUAACAGCUUACAUCUAACCUGACUGCCUAUUCUUAACUAGCUCAACCAACCCGCCCGAACUCAAAUAAUCAGAAUGAUGUUUCUUAUCCCUUCUAAACUCACUGACGCUAGAACACCGAAAUUAGGAACAGCUGACUCCUCCAAAGCUCAUUAAUUCACUUAGUCUUGCUUGCGCGGUUACUUAUUCUGUUUACUACUCCCAAACUCUCUGAUUGCCUUGCCGUUUAGAUACCCUAUACUUGACUGGAACUUGACUUCUUAAGCAUUAACAACAGGUUUCUUAGAAGCUGCUCCAUUAGUCGUUGCUUGUUUGCUUGUUUCAGUCACUAUCCCCGCCCGAUACCUCCUAUCUGAAUUCACGUGAGCACUUGUUCUUGCAUGUUUACUUGUUUGCUUUUGUGGCUUUUUCUGUCAUCAUGAAUAUCAGCACCCUUUAUAGCAGGCCCUAUACUAAUGACUUGGGCAGAGGCACCGUUAUCCAUACUAAACUUGCGACUUGACUUCGAGCAGAAAAGAAAGAAUGGAAUUGGGAAAAAGCUCAUGUUCGACGUUGCUUGUUCUGUCUCUUCUUACUCUUAUUUAUUACCUGUAUACUACACUCUAUUCCCUUAUCCUCCUGUUACGUUGCGCGGUGUAUUGUCUUAAAGGUAAAGGCUGCAGUCGGCUGUUGUUAGGCUACGCUAUUAUAGGAAUAUGCUUGAUAGAUGAAAUUCCAGGUGUGAGUUUAGAGUCACAGAGUUUGUGCGUUAGGAGUUUACAGCACCCAAAGAGACUCGUCGAACAGAAGGGAAGGACAAUCCGCCAUAAGAGUAGUUGAACAGAGGUGAAACAACGAGAAAUCUGCCUUCUGAAGCUUACUUGCGCGGGUGCUACGUGAGCUGAGCUUUUUGGAGGAAAGGUGCGCUUACGGGUAAGGGAGCAUUGCAUAGAUCCUGGUUGGUAAGAAGUUAUGACAAUUCCAGCUUUCGUCGAGCGGCAGGGAGCUUAUAGACAAGCACUCUUACUUGACUUAUACUUACUUGUGAAAUUCAGUAGUUCAGUAUUGCCGGGGCCACUGUAUCAUAAGAUUCCAAAGAAGGGGAAUCCGUUCUCAAGUCAGCUCUAGAAUAGACAAGAGAAGCUGUUGAAUCUGUUCUCUUAUAUCAUAAAGAAUGAAAGAUAGGGCAAGUAACUACUAAUUAUGCUUGCCGGUUUCUCUUUUGACUGGAAGUGAAACACAAGCCUACCCGCCAAGCCACGUAUAGACAUUACGAGCACUUCAACUAGAGCACUUAAACAAUCACUCCUACUGUUGCUUGUCUACUUGGCCCCUUCUUUUUUGAUAGCAAGUGUAGACUUCAAGUUGAGAGGUGGGCAAGGGGGAAUCAUAAAGAUCUGAAGUAGGGUACUUAGCAAUAAGGAAGGGCAAAGGUGUAAUUAAGGCUUUAAGACCGGGUACUGAUACUCUUGUGUAAGAAUCGGUACCUUAGUUUCAGAAUGGAAGUAGGUAGUCAAAGAACAACCCGUGUAGUACAGACUUUAACAGGUUGUUAACUUUUAAAGAAGAAAAGACAGGGUACUUUUUCUAGUAAUGAGAAUCGGUUCUCGGUACCGGUAGUAGAAAUCACAAUUCAUUAAUAUUAAUGUCAGAAUGACUCCCUAAAAGAAGAAUGCAGGCCAGCACGAAACAUAGGAUCUACGCAUUGAGCUCAAUUCCCCUGUUAAGGUCUUGUGUACCCUUAUUCUAUUCUGGCUAGGCAGUGUUCGAUCUUAUGGUUAGUCUAGUUGUUCAAGCCCUAGCUCUUAGUUUCAAGUUCCAGUAUUUCUCCCUGGGGACCGGCUCUAUUCUUUCUAUUCUUGGUCUCCGUGGAUUUCCUAGUUAUAAGGUUCGGUCUUAUUGGGCACCUCGUCAAUCUUACUUUCGAUUGUUAGUCCUAUUAGUGAGCUUCAUCUUUCCACUCCUUGGCUGAGUGAACUACCCUCCUUUCUUUAUUCAAAUUACAGAAUUCUGGGCAACGCGUUUGCCUGUACUCGCUUAGACUAAGGGCGAAGGAAGGUGAUCUAUCCGAUACUAUAAGAUAUGUUGUGUCAUACUGGGUUGUGUUGCGGUGCACCAUACUAGGCAUUGCAGAACCCAGCAAAACCGAGAAACAAACCCUAGAGC